rnacentral:rRNA from 1 species
UUUUGAUUGGGGUAAUCAUAAAGCUAAAAUCUCUAGUUAAAUAGAAGAUUAUAAAUCUCUAUAUAAUAUUUGAACCAGUUAUUCUGAAAUUAGAAUAAGUUACCGCAGGGAUAACAGCGUUAUCUUCUUUGAGAGUUCUUAUUGACAAGAAGGAUUGCGACCUCGAUGUUGGAUUGAGGCAUCCUUAAGGUGUAGCAGCUUUAAAGGGUUGGGCUGUUCGCCCAUU